GACGAACGCUGGCGGCGUGCUUAACACAUGCAAGUCGAACGGAAAGGCCCUGCUUUUGUGGGGUGCUCGAGUGGCGAACGGGUGAGUAACACGUGAGUAAUCUGUCCUUAACUUUGGGAUAACUUCAGGAAACUGGGGCUAAUACCGGAUAGGAGCUCCUGCUGCAAAGUGUGGGUUGGAAAGUUUCGGCGGUUUGGGAUGGACUCGCGGUGUAUCCGCUUGUUGGUGGGGUAGUGGUUUACCAAGGCUUUGACGGGUAGCCGGCCUGGCAGGGUGAGCGGCCACAUUCAGACUGAGAUACGGCCCAGACUCCUACGGGAAGCAGCGGUGGGGAAUAUUGCUCAAGGAGCGGAAGCCUGAUGCAGCAACGCCGCGUGCGGGAUAACGGCCUUCGUGUUGUAAUCCGCUUUCGCCUGUGACGAGGCGUGAGUGGCGGUAAUGAGUAAAGAAGCACCGGGCAAAUACGUUC
rnacentral:rRNA from 1 species